UUGAACGCUGGCGGCAUGCCUUACACAUGCAAGUCGAACGGCAGCACGGGAGCAAUCCUGGUGGCGAGUGGCGAACGGGUGAGUAAUACAUCGGAACGUGCCCAAUCGUGGGGGAUAACGCAGCGAAAGCUGUGCUAAUACCGCAUAAGAUCUACGGAUGAAAGCAGGGGAUCGCAAGACCUUGCGCGAAUGGAGCGGCCGAUGGCAGAUUAGGUAGUUGGUGAGGUAAAGGCUCACCAAGCCUUCGAUCUGUAGCUG
rnacentral:rRNA from 3 species